rnacentral:rRNA from 1 species
GACGAACGCUGGCGGCGUGCUUAACACAUGCAAGUCGAACGGAAAGGCCCUGCUUUUGUGGGGUGCUCGAGUGGCGAACGGGUGAGUAACACGUGAGUAACCUGCCCUUGACUUUGGGAUAACUUCAGGAAACUGGGGCUAAUACCGGAUAGGAGCUCCUGCUGCAUGGUGGGGGUUGGAAAGUUUCGGCGGUUGGGGAUGGACUCGCGGCUUAUCAGCUUGUUGGUGGGGUAGUGGCUUACCAAGGCUUUGACGGGUAGCCGGCCUGAGAGGGUGACCGGCCACAUUGGGACUGAGAGACGGACCAGACUCCUACGGGAGGCAGUAGUGGGGAAUAUUGCACAAUGGGCGGAAGCCUGAUGCAGAAACGCCGCGUGCGGGAUGACGGCCUUCGGGUUGUAAACCGCUUUCGCCUGUGACGAAGCGUGAGUGACGGUAAUGGGUAAAGAAGCACCGGCUAACUACGUG